CCGAAAGUCUGUGUGUGUGAGUGUGUUACUCAAGGAUCAUAUUUGGUGAUGCCUACUUAUUUGGGUUGAUCACCAGGAUGCAGGAUCAAGGACCUAAUAUGGUUUAGUGUGCGCCUGGGGAGUGUAUGCUGGAGGCAUAUGGCGGUACCAUCACUUGAACCGGAUGCAGUGCAUCAAGAAACCAACGGACACAUGAAGUAAAUCAAAAUUGUUAACAAUAAGUAAGAAUAAGGCAUUAUAAGCCGGAGAAUUUCGCCGCAACAUGGACUACCAAAAACAG